rnacentral:rRNA from 1 species
AACGAACGCUGGCGGCAGGCCUAACACAUGCAAGUCGAACGAAGUCUUCGGACUUAGUGGCGGACGGGUGAGUAACACGUGGGAACGUGCCUUUAGGUUCGGAAUAACUCAGGGAAACUUGUGCUAAUACCGAAUGUGCCCUUCGGGGGAAAGAUUUAUCGCCUUUAGAGCGGCCCGCGUCUGAUUAGCUAGUUGGUGAGGUAAAGGCUCACCAAGGCGACGAUCAGUAGCUGGUCUGAGAGGAUGAUCAGCCACAUUGGGACUGAGACACGGCCCAAACUCCUACGGGAGGCAGCAGUGGGGAAUCUUGCGCAAUGGGCGAAAGCCUGACGCAGUCAUGCCGCGUGAAUGAUGAAGGUCUUAGGAUUGUAAAAUUCUUUCACCGGGGACGAUAAUGACGGUACCCGGAGAAGAAGCCCCGGCUAACUUCGUGCCAGCCGCCGCUGUAAUAC